rnacentral:rRNA from 1 species
AGCAGCCGCGGUAAUUCCAGCUCCAAUAGCGUAUAUUAAAGUUGUUGCAGUUAGAAAGCUCGUAGUUGAAUUUCGGGGUUAGUAGGUUGGUCAUGCCUCUGGUAUGUACUGGUCUCACUGAUUCCUCCUUCCUGAUGAUCCGUAAUGCCAUUAAUUUGGUGUUGCGGGGAAUUUGGGCCGUUACUUUGAAAAAAUUAGAGUGUUUAAAGCAAGCUAACGCUUGAAUACAUUAGCAUGGAAUAAUGAAUAGGACGUUCGAUCCUAUUUUGUUGGUUUCUAGGAUUGACGUAAUGAUUAAUAGGGAUAGCUGGGGGCAUUAGUAUUCAAUUGUCAGAGGUGAAAUUCUUGGAUUUAUUGAAGACUAACUACUGCGAAAGCAUUUGCCAAGGAUGUUUUCAUUAAUCAAGAACGAAAGUUAGGGGAUCGAAGACGAUCAGAUACCGUCGUAGUCUUAACCAUAAACUAUGCCGACUAGGGAUCGGAUGAUGUUAAUUUUUUAAUGACUCA